GCUGUGGAACUCCUACGGGAGGCAGCAGCGAGGAAUAUUGGGCAAUGGGUUAGCGCCUGAUCCAGCCAUCCCGCGUGAAGGACGACGGCCCUAUGGGUUGUAAACUUCUUUUGUAUAGGGAUAAACCUACUCUCGUGAGAGUAGCUGAAGGUACUAUACGAAUAAGCACCGGCUAACUCCGUGCCAGCAGCCGCGGUAAUACGGAGGGUGCAAGCGUUAUCCGGAUUUAUUGGGUUUAAAGGGUCCGUAGGCGGAUCUGUAAGUCAGUGGUGAAAUCUCACAGCUUAACUGUGAAACUGCCAUUGAUACUGCAGGUCUUGAGUAAAUUUGAAGUGGCUGGAAUAAGUAGUGUAGCGGUGAAAUGCAUAGAUAUUACUUAGAACACCAAUUGCGAGGGCAGGUCACUAAGAUUUAACCGACGCUGAUGGACGAAAGCGUGGGGAGCGAACAGGAUUAGAAACCCCGGUAGUCCUACCACGU
rnacentral:rRNA from 1 species